GGAGAGGUGCCCGGAGUGGCUUAUCGGGGACCGGAGCCCGUUGCGGUCGGGUUCCAUCGGGCGCAAGCCCACGCAGGUUCGAAUCCUGCCCUCUCCG
rnacentral:tRNA from 1 species